UUCGUCAAUCGAUAUCAAAUUUUCAGUUGUUCGCAAAUUGGUUCUCAUCGAUUUAAGGCGAGCAAUGGUGAUUCCAUUUAUAUUAAGAGUGAAGUUCUGUGAAGUCGAUGACAAGAUAAGUUGGGCUUUUGCUUUUUGGAUGUUGUGGACAAGGUUGAUUUUUUUUGUUAUACAUACCACCAACAGAAGCUAAGUUAGUUUCUAGUUGUGUCGUAUAAAUAUUUAUGUUUCAAAUAUUGUUCAACAGACAUAUUGUAGUUAAAAUCAAAUGCUUAUUAUUAUUGUAAAUGUUAAUAUUAGUUCGGCAGGGUUUUCUUGUUAUGGAUCUAUAAUUCUUCCAUGAAGGAUAAUGAAGUGUUUGCAUGUGUUGCAUAUACUGCUUGUUCCUUGAUUAAAACUUUGUUAAAAAAAGCUUAUAGUGCAAAAAAUUGAAUUGCUUGGA